CAAGAGAGACAGGUGGUGCAUGGUUGUCGUCAGCUCGUGUCGUGAGAUGUUGGGUUAAGUCCCGCAACGAGCGCAACCCUUGUGUUUAGUUGCCAACAGGUUAAGCUGUGCACUCUAAACAGACUGCCGUGGAUAACACGGAGGAAGGUGGGGAUGACGUCAAAUCAUCAUGCCCCUUAUGAUCUGGGCUACACACGUGCUACAAUGGUCGGUACAACGGGCAGCGAAAGAGCGAUCUGGAGCGAAUCCUAAAAAGCCGAUCCCAGUUCGGAUUGCAGGCUGAAACUCGCCUACAUGAAGUUGGAGUUGCUAGUAAUCGCGAAUCAGAAUGUCGCGGUGAAUGCGUUCCCGGGUCUU
rnacentral:rRNA from 1 species